GACGAAUGCUGGCGGCGUGCUUAACACAUGCAAGUCGAACGGAAAGGCCCUGCUUUUGUGGGGUGCUCGAGUGGCGAACGGGUGAGUAACACGUGAGUAACCUGCCCUUGACUUUGGGAUAACUUCAGGAAACUGGGGCUAAUACCGGAUAGGAGCUCCUGCUGCAUGGUGGGGGUUGGAAAGUUUCGGCGGUUGGGGAUGGACUCGCGGCUUAUCAGCUUGUUGGUGGGGUAGUGGCUUACCAAGGCUUUGACGGGUAGCCGGCCUGAGAGGGUGACCGGCCACAUGGGGACUGAGAUACGGCCCAGGCGGCUACGGGAGGCAGCAGUGGGGAGUGGUGCACGAUGGGCGGAAGCCUGAUGCAGCAACGCCGCGUGGGGGAUGACGGCCUUCGGGUUGUAAACCGCUUUCGCCUGUGACGAAACGUGAGUGACGGUAAUGUGUAAAGAAGCACCGGCUAACUACGUG
rnacentral:rRNA from 1 species